rnacentral:rRNA from 1 species
CCCUUAGAUGUCCUGGGCCGCACGCGCGUUACACUGAUGCAUUCAACGAGCUUAUAACCUUGGCCGAGAGGCCUGGGCAAUCUUGUUAACGUGCAUCGUGAUAGGGAUAGAUUAUUGAAAUUAUUAAUCUUGAACGAGGAAUUCCUAGUAAACGCAGAUCAUCAAUCUGCAUUGAUUACGUCCCUGCCCUUUUUACACACCGCCCGUCGCGCCUACCGAUUGGAUGGUCCGGUGAAGCCUCGGGAUUGUGGUUCUUGCCGCUUUAUUGUGGCGUGACCGCGAGAACUUGUCUAAACCUUAUCAUCUAGAGGAAGGUGAAGUCGUAACA